rnacentral:lncRNA from 1 species
UAGGAGUCAUUUUGCUGUUGUAGUUUGAGUUUGUCAUGACACAUGAUAGUUAGAAGAGUGGAAAGUGUGAAUUCAUAUUGUUAGAAAUAGUCUUUUUCUUUUUCUUCUGAAAAAAAGAUUUGUUUCUGUGUCACAUUGUGCUCAAAUCUCCCUUUCUUGGGCUCGCUGCUAUGUGCUAAUGUAUUAUUGGAUGCCAUUUUUACUGGGGAUGUUUUGUGGAAGAACAGAGCAUUUUUCUCUACCAUAUUAUGAUUUCGUCAUUAUGUCACAUAUUGUUAAAUUCUUUUUGUAGGGAUGUUUGAUAAUUAAAAAAUGUGCCAGUAUAUUACUAUUCACUGGAUGGUAUGGUUCCUUAACUUUCCAUCAUUUAUUAAUCCAAUCACCCAAAGAUACCCUCUUGAUGAUCUUCUUUACCAUAUUAAAAUUCUAGCAUUAUGUUGACCAAUCUUUUGUGAUAUAUUAUGUUCUUCCAAAAGCAUGAUCAGUGGUAGUUUUGAUGAUCUUAGAAUCUUGUAUAUGUCCAAGCAGAGAUUACAAAUUAUGCCACUUGGUCUCUUGGUAUAUAGGAUUCACCUAAAGCAAUGGUUUUGAAAAUAAUAUCCUUUUCUUGUUUGUGCUAUCUUUUUCAAGUCUUCAUAUCAAUCUUAAAAAGUAGAAUGCGGGGGAAGAAUGAUUAAGAGAGACCCUUGCAAUGCGGUUGGAGAUUAUUCAAAAUGAUGACUCUGAUGAGAUCAUUCUAUGAGGUUAAUCUGUUGUGUCUUUUGCCCCAUCAAGUAAGCUUGCUCAGCAAGCAGUGGGACUUGGCCCUUUUGUUAGAUUCUUAUGUGGGACUAGAAAGAAAUAUUAUCUGCUCAUAAAAAGUGGAGAAAAGAUUUAAUGCAUUUUCUCCUCUUGAAGUGGUCAUUCAUACAAGACUAAUGCCAGACUGAAUGCGAAACGUAUACUUCAUAGAGGCAGUCAUAUGCAGUGAUAAGUUCAACAAAGCAUGGUGUGGAGAGAUGGGUUUUAACCAUUCUAAAGGAUCUAGCAGUAGAGGAGGAGAUGAUAUGUCAGCAACAAUAUCUGCAAGUAGGAGAUGUGACCAACAAUAUCUGCAAGCAGGAGAGCUGGUCAUAAGAGAUUACAAGGUAGGGCAGGCAUACAUGUCUCUGACUAUUUCAGGGAGGCAAAAGGGGGUUU